GAUGAUCCGGUGCUUGCACCGGGGAUUAGUGGCGAACGGGUGAGUAACACGUGAGUAACCUGCCCUUGACUCUGGGAUAAGCCUGGGAAACUGGGUCUAAUACCGGAUAUGACUCCUCAUCGCAUGGUGGGGGGUGGAAAGCUUUUGUGGUUUUGGAUGGACUCGCGGCCUAUCAGCUUGUUGGUGAGGUAAUGGCUCACCAAGGCGACGACGGGUAGCCGGCCUGAGAGGGUGACCGGCCACACUGGGACUGAGACACGGCCCAGACUCCUACGGGAGGCAGCAGUGGGGAAUAUUGCACAAUGGGCGCAAGCCUGAUGCAGCGACGCCGCGUGAGGGAUGACGGCCUUCGGGUUGUAAACCUCUUUCAGUAGGGAAGAAGCGAAAGUGACGGUACCUGCAGAAGAAGCGCCGGCUAACUACGUGCCAGCAGCCGCGGUAAUACGUAGGGCGCAAGCGUUAUCCGGAAUUAUUGGGCGUAAAGAGCUCGUAGGCGGUUUGUCGCGUCUGCCGUGAAAGUCCGGGGCUCAACUCCGGAUCUGCGGUGGGUACGGGCAGGCUAGAGUGAUGUAGGGGAGACUGGAAUUCCUGGUGUAGCGGUGAAAUGCGCAGAUAUCAGGAGGAACACCGAUGGCGAAGGCAGGUCUCUGGGCAUUAACUGACGCUGAGGAGCGAAAGCAUGGGGAGCGAACAGGAUUAGAUACCCUGGUAGUCCAUGCCGUAAACGUUGGGCACUAGGUGUGGGGGACAUUCCACGUUUUCCGCGCCGUAGCUAACGCAUU
rnacentral:rRNA from 1 species